CCCGGCGUCACUGGGGAGUAGCCGCCCGCACCGAUCAGCGGGGGAUGCGUCAACACACUUGGGGCUGCGGCUCCAUGGCGCACCGGGACCAAGACGGGCCGCGAGGCCC
rnacentral:sRNA from 2 species